UCCAUCAGGAAAGCAGGAGACAGUUGCAUCAGAAAGCCAUCUAUUUUGCUCACUGACGCUGAGAUUCAAUAUCUCAAAGGUUUCAUACAAAUCAUUUCCUUUACCGCG
rnacentral:lncRNA from 1 species